rnacentral:tRNA from 1 species
GGUGGCUCAAUGGUAGAGCGCUUGCCUUGCACGCAAGAGGCCCUGGAUUCGAUUCCUCAGCACCA